rnacentral:snRNA from 1 species
GUGCUCAUUUCAGCACAUAUAAAAUUGGAACGAUACAGAGAAGAUGAGCACGGAUGUGCAAGGAUGACACACAAAUUUAUGAAGCCUUCUAUAUUUAA